rnacentral:rRNA from 1 species
AUGAAGUUCACAUAUGUGAUGGCUGGCUGGGAGGGGUCAACGCAUUAUGCUAACAUUCUCGGUGACAGCAUGAGUCGACUUCAUGGGAUCAACAUCCCCGACGGUAAGUUCCACCUUGGAGAUGCUGGCUCUGCAUGUCGGCCGGGGAUUCUUCCACCCUUCAGGAAAACCAGGUACCAUCUCAACGAGUUCCCUGGUAGGAACUAUCCUAGGACUGCACAGGAGCUAUUUAAUCUCAGACACUCCAGCCUUAGAGUAACUGUUGAGAGGACAUCUGGAGCUCUGAAGAAUAGGUUUAAGAUCCUGAUCAGAAGCCAUUCCACCCAUACUCCACUCAGGUUAAGCUUGUUCUUGCUUGUUCCAUUCUGCAUAACUGGAUCCUCCAGUGGGGCUUUGAUGAACACGUGCCUAAGGAGGAAGAGGUCGAGCCUGGCAAUGUUGUUAGCUCCGGCCAUGGUGUGGAGGCAUUUGACAAUGACACUUGGAAGAAUAAAAGGUUGGAAUGGGUAG